rnacentral:rRNA from 1 species
UAUUGGUCAAUGGGCGAGAGCUUGAACCAGCCAAGUAGCGUGAAGGAUGACUGCCCUAUGGGUUGUAAACUUCUUUUAUAAAGGAAUAAAGUCGGGUAUGGAUACCCGUUCGCAUGAACUUUAUGAAUAAGGAACGGCUAACCCCGUGCCAGCAGCCGCGGUAAUACGGAGGAUCCGAGCGUUAUCCGGAUUUAUUGGGUUUAAAGGGAGCGUAGAUGGAUAUCUAAGUCAGUUGUGAAAGUUUGCGGCUCAACCGUAAAAUUGCAGUUGAUACUGGAUAUCUUGAGUGCAGUUGAGGCAGGCGGAAUUCGUGGUGUAGCGGUGAAAUGCUUAGAUAUCACGAAGAACUCCGAUUGCGAAGGCAGCCUGCUAAGCUGCAACUGACAUUGAGGCUCGAAAGUGUGGGUAUCAAACAGG